rnacentral:rRNA from 1 species
UUACAAUGGGGGGUACGAGAGGGCCGCUACCACGCGAGUGGAUGCCAAUCCCCAAAACCUCUCUCAGUUCGGACUGGAGUCUGCAACCCGACUCCACGAAGCUGGAUUCGCUAGUAAUCGCGCAUCAGCCACGGCGCGGUGAAUACGUUCCCGGGCCUUGUACACACCGCCCGUCAAGCCAUGGGAGCCGGGGGUACCUGAAGUGCGUAACCGCGAGGAGCGCCCUAGGGUAAAACUGGUGACUGGGGCUAAGUCGUAACAAGGUAUC